AUUGAACGCUGGCGGCAGGCCUAACACAUGCAAGUCGAGCGAGCGGCGGACGGUUGAGUAAUGUCUGGGAAACUGCCUGAUGGAGGGGGCUAACUACUGGAACCGGUAGCUCAUACCGCCUACAAUCCGAUUUGCCCAGAUGGAAUUAGCUAGUAGGUGGGGAAACGGCUCACCUAGGCUACGAGCCCUAGCUGGUCUGAGGGGCUGACCAGCACACUGGAACUGAGACACGGUCCAGACUCCUACGGGAGGCAGCAGUGGGGAAUAUUGCGCAAUGGGCGCAAGCCUGAUGCAGCCAUGCCGCGUGUAUGAAGAAGGCCUUCGGGUUGUAAAGUACUGUCAGCGGGGAGGCGUUACCCGCAGAAGAAGCACCGGCUAACUCCGUGCCAGCAGCCGCGGUAAUUC
rnacentral:rRNA from 1 species